GGGCGCUAAGCGGUGCGACCUGAAGCUCUAGAGAGGCCAGCCUGUGCGGGCCGAGGAGGUGCUGUCUCUCGGUCUUUGUCCGAGCGAGAACGUACCUACAGGACUCUGUACUCCCCACCAGAAGAGCCUGAACGGAGAAGUUUGUACCAUUUAAGCCUUAAAGCCAUGGCCCAGAUGAGUUGGACUUGUUCCUCAGUCUUACAGCAACUGACAAGUGGUGCCCGAACAGGGACCUGAGGACGUGGGCUGUUGAGAGGGACCCCGGAAAUAUUUCGUGCGCAGACAUAUACAGGGGACACUAAGGAUCCUCGUUGGAUACCUGAGCACCUCGUGAGAUUCUAUGGAUUCGGACCAGAUGGUGAAUUCCCUCCCCUGCAAUAUGGAUCUGGACCGGAUAGUGAACUCUCUCCCCUGCCAUAUGAAGAGAAUGCGGCUCGACGACACUCCCAAUCCUCCCAAGAAACCAACUCUCCAAGCUCGUCAGUGUCGUCUCUCCUGCACCACGCGGAUGGCCAACCCUCCAACUUGGGCCAAUUGAAACGACUGACCCAGAAGGUGGAGGAGAUGUUGAUGCAGCAGCAAGUGACUAAGUCCCCACAAACAUUGUUUGUGGCUAUGUUGGCUGUUAUUUUUUGUCAGGUAGUUUUGGGUAAUACUGAUGCUUAUUGGGCAUAUGUCCCUGAUCCUCCUUUACUUCACCCUGUAGAAUGAAAUUAUCCCUCAAUUCCUGUUUAUGUUAAUGAUACUUCCCUUCUUGGCUAUCCAAGCAGUGGUUUUAUUACCCCUCUCACUGUAACUCGUUUUUCAUAUACUGCCUUUUCUUUGCGUGCCCCUGUCUGUUUUUCCAUUCCUGCGUUUUGGUAUAACCAACACGAACGAUACCGGCAUGGAUGUCUUUCAGUAGGACCCAGGCCUUCUUAUACAUAUCAGUUCCAGUAUCGGAAUGAAACGUUGUCUCGCAGGGAAUGGAUUUUGAAUAUUAUGAGGCUCUCCACUCCUUAUUUUAAGGCUACAGAGGAUCCUCCUAAGGACUUGCCUCCCUGCACUCAACAAAUAUCGUCCCCCUUUUCUAACCCCUCAGAACCUUUAUGGUCAUAUCCUCUGUGGCAUCGAUGCCGAUAUUCUACACCGGUGUGGCGUCGAAUUCCUCAUACUACUGAAGCUGUUUUGGACUGGUCUUUUCCUCAACCUUUUGCUGAACUUCUUAUUAAUAAGAUAAGAUUGAAUCUCCAGGGGGAUGGGUGGAGGGUGUCCUCUCCACCAAUUUAGGAAAUGUACAAAAUAAUACUUGGAAGUUGAUGGCUGCUGUGGGGCCUGUUGUCCUUUCACAUCAACAACAUCCUGUUAGGAACUUAACCGCUUUUGUUAUGGCUUGUGUUCCACCACCCUAUGCUAUUCUUACUGGUUCUGUCUACGUUUUUCAAAAAGAAGGGUUUUAUGACAUACGUUGUGAUAAUUGUAAUUUGACAAAUUGUAUAACCAUGGGGGAAUCAAACCGGGGAUUUCUUCUUGUUCAUCAGCCUCCCUUUGUUAUGCUCCCUGUAAAUGUUACAGGUCCUUCGUAUUCUAAUUCAGGUUUGCAGGUCAUGCAUGAACUUUCCCUUCUUUUACAACGGCCCAAGCGAUUUUUGGGGCUACUUAUAGCUGGAAUUACAGCGCUCGUUGCAGUCAUUGCUUCUGUAGCUGCUUCCGCUACUGCGCUGACUCAAAGUAUUCAUACUGCCACAUUUGUGAAUAAUUUAGCCGCUAAUGUCUCUAAUGCUUUGGGAACUCAAGAAACUAUUGAUAGAAAAUUAGAAAGUCAUGUUAAUGCGUUGGAAGAAGUUGUUCUUAUUCUUGGAGACCAAUUAGCUGCUUUAAAAAUUGCCUGUUCUAUGCGUUGUCAUGCAGAAUUUUCUGCAAUCUGUGUAACCUCUAAGCCAUAUAACGAUUAGCAGUGGCCUUGGCCUCAGAUUAAGAAUCAUUUAUUGGGAAUUUGGUCUCAUUCCAAUCUAUCCCUUGAUAUUGCUCGCUUACAUGAGGAUAUCACAAAUAUCCAGCAUGCAGCUCCCCUAGAUGU